rnacentral:rRNA from 1 species
GACGAACGCUGGCGGCGUGCUUAACACAUGCAAGUCGAGCGGAAAGGCCCUUUCGGGGGUACUCGAGCGGCGAACGGGUGAGUAACACGUGAAUAAUCUGCCCUGGACUUUGGGAUAACCCUCGGAAACGGGGGCUAAUACCGGAUAUGACUGCCUGAUGCAUGUUGGGUGGUGGAAAGCUUUUGUGGUCCAGGAUGAGUUCGCGGCCUAUCAGCUUGUUGGUGGGGUAAUGGCCUACCAAGGCGACGACGGGUAGCCGGCCUGAGAGGGCGACCGGCCACACUGGGACUGAGACACGGCCCAGACUCCUACGGGAGGCAGCAGUGGGGAAUAUUGCACAAUGGGCGAAAGCCUGAUGCAGCGACGCCGCGUGAGGGAUGACGGCCU